CGCUGACGGCCAGAUCCUUAGCUCUGGACUUGCCAUGGCGAUGUCAGCUCGGGGAGGACCUGGUGACCCGGAGUCACUGUGCCGUCCAAUGGAGAAUCAAGGGGCAGGCGCAGCCCCGCAUUGACGUCUCUCGGAGCCUCUCCUUCUCUGCUCCUCCAGGAUGAGGGCAGGGCCCAGGUGGUUGAAUUCCUCUGAGCCUCAGUUUUUUCAUCUGUCAAAAGGUGCUGACCCAGAGAUGGCCCCUUGGCGUGGACUGCAACAGAGGCCACCCAGGAAGUGGAAGGUGGAAGCUCGCUCUGUCACCC
rnacentral:lncRNA from 10 species